UACGUAGGGUCCGAGCGUUGUCCGGAAUUACUGGGCGUAAAGAGCUCGUAGGUGGUUUGUCGCGUUGUUCGUGAAAACUCACAGCUUAACUGUGGGCGUGCGGGCGAUACGGGCAGACUGGAGUACUGCAGGGGAGACUGGAAUUCCUGGUGUAGCGGUGAAAUGCGCAGAUAUCAGGAAGAACACCCGUGGCGAAGGCGGCUCUCUGGAACGCAACUGACGCUGAGACGCGAAAGCGUGGGGAGCAAACAGG
rnacentral:rRNA from 1 species